rnacentral:rRNA from 1 species
GACGAACCGUGCGAACGUUGUUCGGAAUCACUGGGCUUAAAGGGCGCGUAGGCGGGCCGCCAAGUCCGGGGUGAAAUCCUCCAGCUUAACUGGAGAACUGCCUCGGAUACUGGAGGUCUCGAGGGAUAUAGGGGCACGCGGAACUGGUGGUGGAGCGGUGAAAUGCGUUGAUAUCACUAGGAACUCCGGUGGCGAAGGCGGCGUGCUGGAUAUCUUCUGACGCUGAGGCGCGAAAGCCAGGGGAGCAAACGGG